AGUACGGCGGAACACGAGAAAUUCCGUCGGAAUCCGCGGGGACCAUCCCGCAAGGCUAAAUACUCCCUAGUGACCGAUAGUGAACCAGUACCGUGAGGGAAAGGUGAAAAGCACCCCGGAAGGGGAGUGAAAUAGAUCCUGAAACCGUGUGCCUACAACAAGUCAAAGCUCGUUAAUGAGUGAUGGCGUGCCUUUUGUAGAAUGAACCGGCGAGUUACGAUUGCAUGCGAGGUUAAGUCGAAGAGACGGAGCCGCAGCGAAAGCGAGUCUGAAUAGGGCGAAUGAGUAUGUAGUCGUAGACCCGAAACCAUGUGAUCUACCCAUGUCCAGGUUGAAGGUGCGGUAAAACGCACUGGAGGACCGAACCCACGUACGUUGAAAAGUGCGGGGAUGAGGUGUGGGUAGCGGAGAAAUUCCAAACGAACUUGGAGAUA
rnacentral:rRNA from 1 species